AUUGAACGCUGGCGGCAGGCUUAACACAUGCAAGUCGAGCGGAGAUGAGGUGCUUGCACCUUAUCUUAGCGGCGGACGGGUGAGUAAUGCUUAGGAAUCUGCCUAUUAGUGGGGGACAACAUUCCGAAAGGAAUGCUAAUACCGCAUACGUCCUACGGGAGAAAGCAGGGGAUCUUCGGACCUUGCGCUAAUAGAUGAGCCUAAGUCGGAUUAGCGAGUUGGUGGGGUAAAGGCCUACCAAGGCGACGAUCUGUAGCGGGUCGGAGAGGAUGAUCCGCCCCACUGGGACUGAGACACGGCCCAGACUCCUAGUGGGGGCAGCAGUGGGGAAUAUUGGACAAUGGGGGGAACCCUGAUCCAGCCAUGCCGCGUGUGUGAAGAAGGCCUUAUGGUUGUAAAGCACUUUAAGCGAGGAGGAGGCUACUGAGACUAAUACUCUUGGAUAGUGGACGUUACUCGCAGAAUAAGCACCGGCUAACUCUGUGCCAGCAGCCGCCGUAAGAC
rnacentral:rRNA from 1 species